rnacentral:rRNA from 1 species
GACGAACGCUGGCGGCGUGCUUAACACAUGCAAGUCGAACGGAAAGGCCCUGCUUUUGUGGGGUGCUCGAGUGGCGAACGGGUGAGUAACACGUGAGUAACCUGCCCUUGACUUUGGGAUAACUUCAGGAAACUGGGGCUAAUACCGGAUAGGAGCUCCUGCUGCAUGGUGGGGGUUGGAAAGUUUCGGCGGUUGGGGAUGGACUCGCGGCUUAUCAGCUUGUUGGUGGGGUAGUGGCUUACCAAGGCUUUGACGGGUAGCCGGCCUGAGAGGGUUACCGGCCACAUUGGGACUGAGAUACGGCCCAGACGCCUACGGGAGGCAGCAGUGGGGAAUAUUGCACAAUGGGCGGAAGCCUGAUGCAGCAACGCCGCGUGCGGGAUGACGGGCUUCGGGUUGUAAACCGCUUUCGCCUGUGACGAAGAGUGAGUGACGGUAAUGGGUAAAGAAGCAACGGCUAACUACGUG